GGGCAGGUGCCAGAGCGGUUGAAUGGGCUCGCCUGGAAAGCGGGUGUGCUGGUAACAGUACCGGGGGUUCGAAUCCCCCCCUGUCCG
rnacentral:tRNA from 1 species